rnacentral:rRNA from 1 species
GCUGCAGUAUUUUGACUGUACAAAGGUAGCAUAAUCAUUUGUCUUUUAAUUGAAGGCUAGUAUGAAUGGUUGGAUGAAAAAUAUACUUUCUUUAUUUUAUAAAAUAAAAUUAAUUUUUUAGUCAAAAAGCUAAAAUGUUAUUAAAGGACGAGAAGACCCUAUAGAACUUUAUUUUCUUUAUAUAUAAAUUUUAUGGUUUAAUAAAAAAUUAUAUAUUGAUGUUAAUUUUGUUGGGGUGACAGAAAAAAUAAUAUAACUUUUUCUAUUUUUUUCAUUUGUAUAUGUUAUUUUGAUCCUAUAUUAUGGAUAAUAAGAUUAAGUUACCUUAGGGAUAACAGCGUAAUUUUCUUUGAGAGUUCUUAUUGAUAGGAAAGUUUGCGACCUCGAUGUUGGAUUAAAAUUA